GUGAAUCAUCGAAUCUUUGAACGCAUAUUGCGCUCUCUGGUAUUCCGGAGAGCAUGCUUGUUUGAGUAUCAUGAGAACUAUCACCACAAAUCCUUGCGGUUUGUGGUGGAAUUGAGUUGAACCCAACGCGUCUUUUACAGACAUGGAGGGCAGCUUGAAAUGCAGGUUCCAGCAGGUGUCAACUUGGCAAAAGCGUAACUAUUUUCGUUUUCCUUAUGGGAAAUGGAUUAUCUCGCCCAAGCCGUUAAAAGUUGGUACCAAAGCUUGACUAUGCAGGAUUAAAAAAAAAAAAACUCGAUC
rnacentral:misc_RNA from 1 species